GACGCUCUCUAUUGUCGAACUUGUGAAAAAUCCGUUCGUUAUUGUCCCACGCACUUCGGUGGGUCCGAGUACAAAAGAAACCGACUCAUUGAUUUCCAACUUCUCGCUCGUCUUCAUCAUUUUCUCAUUCACUCCGGGAUGCCAGUUAACUAGACUUUAAUAUCCGGAAACCUGGAAAACUUGGAAGAAGUCGAUUUUUCGUCAUCCCCCUCUCCUCCCCCCCUUCCUCCCUUGCCCCUCAUUCAAGAAGAAGGAGAAAACAAAUCAUCUGAAAUUGCCACCUAGCACCUCACGAGUGAAAAUUGACUGGUCAUCAUCAUGAGACGCGCCCACCAGAAAUAACAUAAUCGAUUUUGCGCAGAGUCGACCGCCAACGAUGCUGCACUCACGGAAAUGGCCCGCCCCCUAUUUCCAGUGAAGCUGAGGAUAUAAAACACUGGUUCGUUGCAGCUGAAGCAGUCCUCAUUUCCCAAAAUGUAUCGCUCGAUACAUGCUAAAUGGCUCCUCAGCGGUAAAGAUCAAAGGUAAUGCCGACGGAAUUCAGUGGCCAAGGUAUCAUAAUAAUUUGCUUGGGGCCUCUUCACGUGUUCAGUAUUGGAAUAGGGAAUGCCGACGGGGGUCUUUAAACCCGACGAAUCACCAUCGUGCUAAAUUAAAACUAAAUGGAUCUCUAAAAUCGUUUUACUGAUCUUUCUGGCUUUCCCAUUGUAAUCACGACAGUUUUAGGUCCAGGUGCCGAAGUCCAGGCUUCAACGACAACCGCAAGCUUGAUUCAAGGUAGGAUGCCAAGCCUUGGAAUUCCUUAGAUCAAGCUUGAUUCCACGAAAAUGCCGAACUAGAACUAAAAUAGAUCAUCAAACAACCAAAGUGGACUGAAAAAAACUUGACUCAGGCUCCACGUUCACGGUUGCCUUGAGCUUGACAUCCAAGCGUGAACAAGAUUACGUUAGCUUGAUGCCAGCUUGGGACAAGCUUACCUAAUUCUCAAAAUACAAUAAAAAUACGGGUAAUUAACCUACGCCCAUAGUCAAUUCCCACCUGGGAGGU